GGGCGGUUAGCUCAGCGGUAGAGCACUGCUUUCACACGGCAGGGGUCAAUGGUUCAAUCCCAUUACCGCCCACCA
rnacentral:tRNA from 1 species